AUGUCUUUUUGAUUAUAAUUUAAGGUUUAAUCUGCUCAAUGAUUAUUUAAAUUGCCGCAGUAUUUUGACUGUGCAAAGGUAGCAUAAUAAUUAGUUUCUUUAUUGGGAACUGGAAUGAAUGAUUGGACGAGAAAAUUUCUGUCUCUUUAUUAUUUUAAUUGAAUUUUACUUUUAAGUUAAAAGGCUUAAAUUUUAUUAGAGGACGAGAAGACCCUAUAGAGUUUAAUUUUUAUUUAAAUAAUUAUUUUUAGUAUCUAUAUAUAUUAUUUAAAUAAAAAUUUAGUUGGGGUGACUAAAAGAUAAGAAUAACUCUUUUAAUUUUUAUCAAUUAUUUUUGAUUAUAAAAUCUUUAUUUUUAAUUUUAAAAUAAAUUACCUUAGGGAUAACAGCGUAAUUCUUUUUUAAAGUUCUUAUUAAAAGAAGAGUUUGCGACCUCGAUGUUGGAUUAAAAUUAAUUUUAGGUGUAGAAGCUUGAAAAUUAAGUCUGUUCGACUUUUAAAAUUUUACAUGAUCUGAGUUUAAACCGGUGUGAGCCAGGUUGGUUUCUAUCCUUAAUUAUAUAUUAUACUU
rnacentral:rRNA from 1 species